GGCGCAUUGGCAGAAUGGUUUAUGCAGAGGAUUGCAAAUCCUUUUAUUUCGGUUCAAUUCCGAGAUGCGCCU
rnacentral:tRNA from 1 species